GGUUGACCUCCGAUCAGGAAGGGAUACCCGCUGAACUUAAGCAUAUCAAUAAGCGG
rnacentral:rRNA from 1 species